AGUCGAGGGGUAUAGGCUUUCGGGCCUAGAGACCGGCGCACGGGUGCGUAACGCGUAUGCAAUCUACCUUUCACAGAGGGAUAGCCCAGAGAAAUUUGGAUUAAUACCUCAUGGUAUAUAGGAGUGGCAUCACUUUUAUAUUAAAGUCACAACGGUGAAAGAUGAGCAUGCGUCCCAUUAGCUAGUUGGUAAGGUAACGGCUUACCAAGGCGACGAUGGGUAGGGGUCCUGAGAGGGAGAUCCCCCACACUGGUACUGAGACACGGACCAGACUCCUACGGGAGGCAGCAGUGAGGAAUAUUGGUCAAUGGGCGCAAGCCUGAACCAGCCAUGCCGCGUGCAGGAUGAAGCAUCUAUGGUGUGUAAACUGCUUUUGUACGGGAAGAAACAGAGGUUCGUGAACCUCCUUGACGGUACCGUAAGAAUAAGGAUCGGCUAACUCCGUGCCAGCAGCCGCGGUAAUACGGAGGAUCCAAGCGUUAUCCGGAAUCAUUGGGUUUAAAGGGUCCGUAGGCGGUUUAGUAAGUCAGUGGUGAAAGCCCAUCGCUCAACGGUGGAACGGCCAUUGAUACUGCUAGACUUGAAUUAUUAGGAAGUAACUAGAAUAUGUAGUGUAGCGGUGAAAUGCUUAGAUAUUACAUGGAAUACCAAUUGCGAAGGCAGGUUACUACUAAUGGAUUGACGCUGAUGGACGAAAGCGUGGGUAGCGAACAGGAUUAGAUACCCUGGUAGUCCACGCCGUAAACGAUGGAUACUAGCUGUUCGGAGCAAUCUGAGUGGCUAAGCGAA
rnacentral:rRNA from 1 species